rnacentral:rRNA from 1 species
AGAGUUUGAUCAUGGCUCAGGAUGAACGCUAGCGGCAGGCCUAAUACAUGCAAGUCGAGGGGUAACAGGAGUAGCAAUACUUGCUGACGACCGGCGCACGGGUGCGUAACACGUAUAUAAUCUGCCUUUAACAGGGGGAUAGCCCGGAGAAAUCCGGAUUAAUACCCCAUAAUAGUUUGACUGGCAUCAGUUGAAUUUGAAAGCUCCGGCGGUUAAAGAUGAGUAUGCGUCUGAUUAGCUAGUUGGUGAGGUAACGGCUCACCAAGGCGACGAUCAGUAGGGGAUCUGAGAGGACUACCCCCCACACGGAUACUGAGACACGGAUCCGACUCCUACGGGAGGCAGCAGUAAGGAAUAUUGGACAAUGCCCGCAAGGGUGAUCCAGCCAUGCCGCGUGCAGGAAGACGGCCCUAUGGGUUGUAAACUGCUUUUACACCGGAGAAAACCUUCCCUCGUGAGGGGAGCUGAUAGUAUGGUGAGAAUAAGCAUCGGCUAACUUCGUGCCAGCAGCCGCGGUAAGACGAAGGAUGCAAGCGUUAUCCGGAUUCAUUGGGUUUAAAGGGAGCGUAGGUGGCCUUAUAAGUCAGUGGUGAAAUCUCUGGGCUUAACCCAGAAAUUGCCAUUGAUACUGUAGGGCUUGAGUACAGUUGCCGUUGGCGGAAUAUGACAUGUAGUGGUGAAAUACAUAGAGAUGUCAUAGAACACCGAUUGCGAAGGCAGCUAACGAAACUGUAACUGACACUGAGGCUCGAAAGUGCGGGGAUCAAACAGGAUUAGAUACCCUGGUAGUCCGCACUGUAAACGAUGAUUACUCGCUGCUAGAGGGCAACUUUUAGUGGCUUAGCGAAAGCGAUAAGUAAUCCACCUGGGGAGUACGCCCGGCAACGGUGAAACUCAAGGAAUUGACGGGGGCCCGCACAAGCGGAGGAGCAUGUGGUUUAAUUCGAUGAUACGCGAGGAACCUUACCA